GAGGGUAUAGCUCAGUGGCAGAGUGUGUGCUUAGCAUGCAUGAGGUCCUGGGUUCAAUCCCCAGUACCUCCA
rfam:Camelus ferus unplaced genomic scaffold scaffold1320, whole genome shotgun sequence.